UACGGAGGGAGCUAGCGUUAUUCGGAAUUACUGGGCGUAAAGCGUACGUAGGCGGCUUUGCAAGUUAGGGGUGAAAGCCUGGAGCUCAACUCCAGAACUGCCUUUAAAACUGCAUCGCUUGAAUCCAGGAGAGGUGAGUGGAAUUCCGAGUGUAGAGGUGAAAUUCGUAGAUAUUCGGAAGAACACCAGUGGCGAAGGCGGCUCACUGGACUGGUAUUGACGCUGAGGUACGAAAGCGUGGGGAGCAAACAGG
rnacentral:rRNA from 1 species